rnacentral:rRNA from 1 species
AUGAGGUCGCCGCAAGCUCUCUCGCUUCUUGUUGUUGUCCUCCUCCUUGCCUCGUCCAGUGCUUCCGUCAUAGAAGACACAUGCAGGCGCUUCGAUGGCGCUGACAUCUACGAUAUCUGCAUCAAGUUCUUCAAGGCCAACAAGGAUAGCACCACCACGGACAAGCGUGGCCUUGCUGUCAUCGCCAUUGGGAUUGCCAGUGCAACAGCUGUGGACACCCGCAAGCGUGUCGCCACCCUGAAGGCCGAGGAAAAGGAUCAAAUUAUCCAGCAUGUCCUCGCCUACUGUGACAAUAUGUACUCCAGUGUUGUGGGCCUAUUUGACAAGGCUGCCAGGGGCAUCUCGUUGGGCAGGUUGGGCGACGCGGUGAUGAGCCUUAGCUCCGCACUGGACAUUCCCAAAUAUUGCGAUGACAAGUUCCUCGAGGCAGGCGUGAAGUCGCCAUUCGAUGCCGAGAACAGCGAGUUCGAGGUGCAAUGUGCAAUCACUCUGGGUGUAACGAAGAUGCUGACCAUGUAG